UUUCGGCGGAGGAGGCGGAGGAGGAGGAGAGCGGUGCUUUGGCGGAGGAGAGGACCAGGCAGGGAGCGAGCGCGGCGAGGAACCCCGGCCAGUCCCCCCCCCCUCCCUCCCUCCCCGCCCCCGGAGACAGCGAAAGUCGCAGCCGCUGGACUCCCCACCACCAACCCCCCCUGGCCCCCGGAGGAGGACCCGAGAGUGAGAGAGAGGAAAACGCGUAUCCACGGGAGAGGCCUCCGUCCAGGGCUGCAGCAUGUUUGCGUCUGUGAAGGCCUUUGAGGGGCAGCAGUACUCCACUCUGAAGAGACAGUGUCUGCAGAGCGGCUUGCUGUUUGAGGACCCCCGCUUCCCCUCCACCGAUGACUCACUUUUCUACCAGGGCAACAGGAUCGGACGCGUGGUGUGGAAGAGGCCGCGGGAGCUAUGUGAGGACCCUCACUUGUUCGUGGAUGGCAUCAGCGCACAUGACCUCCACCAGGGGCAGCUGGGGAAUUGUUGGUUUGUGGCGGCCUGCUCCAGUCUGGCCUCAAGAGAGUCCCUUUGGCAAAAGGUGAUUCCCGACUGGAAGGAGCAGGAGUGGGACACGGAGAAGCCCGACUCGUACGCCGGCAUCUUCCACUUCCGCUUCUGGCGCUUCGGCGAAUGGGUGGACGUGGUGAUCGACGACCGACUGCCCACCGUGGACAACCAGCUGGUCUAUUGCCAUUCCAAUGACAGCAACGAGUUCUGGAGCGCGCUGGUGGAGAAGGCCUAUGCCAAGGUGUACGGCUGCUACGAGGCUCUGGACGGCGGCAACACUGCAGACGCGCUGGUGGACUUCACGGGCGGGGUCUCGGAACCCGUGGACCUGCUGGAGGGUCAGAUGGCGACCGACGAGGUGGCCCGGAAUCAGCUGUUUGAACGCGUCCUGAAAGUGCACAACCGAGAUGGCCUUAUCAGCUGCUCUAUUAGAGCAACCACAAUCGAGGACAUGGAGGCACGGCUGGACUGCGGCCUGGUGAAAGGCCACGCCUACGCCGUGACCGACGUCCGGAAAGUGCGGCUGGGUCACGGGCUGCUGGCGUUUUUCAAGUCGGAGAAGCUGCACAUGAUCCGCAUGAGGAACCCCUGGGGGGAGAAGGAGUGGAGCGGUCCUUGGAGCGACAGUUCGGAGGAGUGGAACAAGGUGAGCAAGAGCGAGAGGGAGAAGCUGGGCGUCACCGUGCAGGACGACGGCGAGUUCUGGAUGACGUUCGACGACUUCUGCCAGUACUUCACCGACCUGAUCCUCUGCCGCCUCAUCAACACGUCGUACCUGAGCAUCCACAAGACGUGGGAGGAGGAGGUGAUGCGGGGCUCCUGGGUCCACCGCCAGGAGCCCCUGCGCAACCGUUCAGGCGGCUGCAUCAAUCACAAGGCCACCUUCCUCCAGAACCCUCAGUACGUGUUUGACGUGAAGAAGGUGGAGGACGAGGUGCUGAUCUGCUUGCAGCAGAAGGAGAAGAGAGCCACUCCCAACGAGGGGAAAGGGGAGAACCUCGCCAUAGGUUUCGAUAUCCACCAGGUGGAGGUGAACCGCAAAUACCGCAUGCACUCAGCCCAGCAGAAGGUGGCGGGCUCCAUCUACAUCAACUCGCGCUGCGUCUUCCUCAGGAAGGAGAUGAAGGAGGGCCGCUACGUCAUCAUCCCCACCACCUUCGACCCGGGCCAGCAGGGAGACUUCCUGCUCCGCGUCUUCACCGACGUGCCUUCGGACUGCAGAGAGCUGACCCUGGACGAACCUCCUCAGACAUGUUGGACGGGCAUGUGCGGCUACCCUCAGCUGGUCACCCAGGUACACGUUAUCAACGCCGAGGGGCUGCAGGGACAGGAUUCCAACGGAGCGGUAGACCCGUACGUGAUCAUCACCUGCGAAGGUGAGAGGGUCCGCUCGCCGGUUCACAAGGACACCCGGUGCCCCAAUUUUGACAUCAAGGGUCUGUUCUACCGCAAGAAGCCCAAAGAGGGAGUCCACAUCGAGCGCCGCUUAUGGACGAUAAUGGGAGGUCUUGAAGCCGCUCCAUCAAGAGUGAAACGCGCCCGCACUUCUUGCCACGGUCCAUUCAUGUGACGUCUGAUGUCCUGGAAUCAAGCCAACGCUGAACCAUGGUCAUUCUGCAGCAGGGCGACUAUGUGUGGUUGGACCUCAAAACGGGUCGCGAGUUUGACGUUCCCGUGGGGGCGGUGGUCAAACU